UACGUAGGGUGCAAGCGUUAUCCGGAAUUAUUGGGCGUAAAGAGCUCGUAGGCGGUCUGUUGCGUCGGCUGUGAAAACCCGGGGCUCAACCCCGGGCCUGCAGCCGAUACGGGCAGACUAGAGUUCGGCAGGGGAGACUGGAAUUCCUGGUGUAGCGGUGAAAUGCGCAGAUAUCAGGAGGAACACCGGUGGCGAAGGCGGGUCUCUGGGCCGAUACUGACGCUGAGGAGCGAAAGCGUGGGGAGCGAACAGG
rnacentral:rRNA from 1 species